rnacentral:lncRNA from 1 species
AAGUUUUACAAAUUUAAUUUGUAAAUCUCUCAACCCACGUAUAUUUUCAUUGAUGUCCAUUUCUUCUUUCUUUGUUGUAGUCAUUUAAGGUUGAAUCAAAGAUGUUAGAUGGAUAGUAGACAUUUUUAGCUUAUGUCUUUGUAAUGGUCUUUGAAUAUCCACCCUAUCUUUUCUCUUUUCUUUUUUUGCCAACAACCCCACUACCUCUCCCACUUCCUUCCAAUUUUUUGUCAAUCCUUCAUCUUUUUUUUUAUCUUCAAGUAAGAUUUUUAAAUUUUCAUACAAUUCUUCAUUAGCUGCUUGAAGAAAGAAUUUUCCUUUACUUAGAUUCAAUAAUUACCUUUCCAUCUUUGAUAAAGAAGAAUAUUGCUUUUCAAACUCCUUUAAUAAUUUUUUUGCUAAAAGAUCCUUCUCUGGCCUUUCAACCCAUUCAAAAAAUGAUUUCUUUGUAACCCAAAAAUUAUCUUCUAAGAAAAAUUCAUCCUUCAAUACUUGAGAUAAUUUUUUCUAUGAACCUUCAGAAUGUUGUAUAAUAGAUCUUACAUAAUUUCUUAUCUCUGGUACAAUAGCUAGUUUAAAUAAUUGAACCAUCUAUUUUUUUGAAACAAGCUUCAAUUCCAUUUCUUUUACAUAACACCUUAAAUAAUUUGUAAUGUCCUUCUCUUCAAAUUGACCAAUCUUAUCCACAACUACUUAUAAUGCUUUGUUUGCCAUAUCCUCUUUGCAUUCUUUAAUUUGUUGUUGUUGCAUAAAUAAGGUAAAAGCUUCAAAUAUGCUUGCGGAAUUGAGAUCAAAAUACAUACCUUGUCCUCCACUAGUACCUCUACUUGUAGCUCUAAUUAAAGCACCAUCCAUAGCCCCUUCUUCAAUUCUCUUGCCUUCUUUCUCCAUAAUUCAAAUAACCUGAGAAAAAUUUCCAAAUACCUUCCAUCUCAAGCUUUUUAUGUCCAAUUCACCAAAUAUAUUAUAUUACAAGAAGUAUUGCUUGAAAAUGCACUGGACACCUAGUUGUGGAAAGUAGAAUGGAAAUUACAAUAACAGAAUCUUAUUUCUAAUAGAAUACUAAAUAAACUCUAAUUAAAUCUUAAUAAUAUUAAAUAAGCUUUAAUCAAAUUCAAAAGAAACCUCAAAGAAAUUACAAAAGAAACAAUAAGAAAUCUUAAAGGAGUUUAAAGAUAAUCCACAAUAAAUCUUAAAAGAAUUUUUACAAAGUCAUAAAAAAUAUUAAAAUAAUCACAAUAUAUCUUAAAUAAAACUCAAUCAAGUUCUAGUUUAAUCCUAAUUGAAAUCCUAAUAGACUUCAAUCAAAUCCUAGACAAAUCCUAAGUCCUAAAUAACACCUUAAAUAAAUCCUAAACUUUAAACUAAAUCCUAGACAAAUCCUAAAUUCUAAAUUCAAUCCUAAUUAAAUCCUAUCCAAAUCCUUAUCAAAUCCUAAUCAAAACUUAAAUCCUAAACCAAAUUCUAAUCGAAUCCUAAAUCCUAAACCAAAUCUUAGACGAUUCCUAAAUCUUAAAUCAAAUCCUAAUCAAAUUUCAAUCCUAAAUCAAAUCAUAGACAAAUCCUAAAUCUUAAACUAAACUCUAACCAAAUCCUAAAUUCUAAACCAAAAAUUAAAGUAGUUUAGAACCUCAAUAUCUUUUGAUUAAACCAUUGAUCUUAUUUGAAAUUUUACACACC